rnacentral:rRNA from 1 species
GAUGAACGCUGGCGGCGUGCCUAAUACAUGCGAGUCGAGCGAACAGACGAGGAGCUUGCUCCUCUGACGUUAGCGGCGGACGGGUGAGUAACACGUGGAUAACCUACCUAUAAGACUGGGAUAACUUCGGGAAACCGGAGCUAAUACCGGAUAAUAUAUUGAACCGCAUGGUUCAAUAGUGAAAGACGGUUUUGCUGUCACUUAUAGAUGGAUCCGCGCCGCAUUAGCUAGUUGGUAAGGUAACGGCUUACCAAGGCAACGAUGCGUUGCCGACCUGAGAGGGUGAUCGGCCACACUGGAACUGAGACACGGUCCAGACUCCUACGGGAGGCAGCAGUAGGGAAUCUUCCGCAAUGGGCGAAAGCCUGACGGAGCAACGCCGCGUGAGUGAUGAAGGUCUUCGGAUCGUAAAUCUCUGUUAUUAGGGAAGAACAAAUGUGUAAGUAACUAUGCACGCCUUGACGGUACCUAAUCAGAAAGCCACGGCUAACUACGUG